GUGAGGAAUUUUCCGCAAUGGGCGAAAGCCUGACGGAGCAAUGCCGCGUGAAGGAUGAAGGCCUAUGGGUUGUAAACUUCUUUUCUCAGAAAAGAAUUAUGACGGUAUCUGAGGAAUAAGCAUCGGCUAACUCUGUGCCAGCAGCCGCGGUAAGACAGAGGAUGCAAGCGUUAUCCGGAAUGAUUGGGCGUAAAGCGUCUGUAGGUUGUUUAAAAAGUAUUCUGUCAAAGAUUAGGGCUUAAACCUAGAUAGGCAGAAUAAACUUUUAAGCUAGAGUGUGGUAGAGGCAGAGGGAAUUCCCGGUGGAGCGGUGAAAUGCGUAGAUAUCGGGAGGAACACCAAAGGCGAAGGCACUCUGCUGGGCCAAUACUAACACUGAGAGACGAAAGCGAGGGGAGCAAAUGGGAUUAGAAACCCCUGUAGUCC
rnacentral:rRNA from 1 species